GAAAGAAAAGAGGGUCAAUAGUAAAACAUGAUAUCCGAUUGCCACGACGAAGAUUAACCUGGCCACGCCGCACCGUACCACUCGCCUCGAUGGUUCUUCCUUUGAGCGUUUCGAGCGGCCCUUAAACGCUCGGCCCUUUGUGUGUCCGGGAACCAAUCAUACUUCCGAUUUAUCGUUGGUCCGUGAGCGAGAAUGACUAUUAUCGAAAUCUAUUUAGUUAAAGGAUUAUGUGAUGUCACGUAUCUGAUGAUAUAAAAUGAAUUUGUACUUGGUGCAAGUGAUAUACAGUGCCGUAAAUAAUUAGAAAAUUAAUCAGAAUAUCAAAAGAAAAAUUGACAGAGUCCUUUAUGUAACUUUAUAUUAUAACAUGAAAGAAAAUUGAAGAUACAACGGAGAAAAAUGUUGUUCUUUUACAUUUUCUUUUAGAAUUAUGUUUUUGGCUGUGAAGGAAUGUAGACUCAGUGUCAAUCUCGUUAACUUUUCAUUCAACAUUUAGUGGAUUUUACUUUAUUUUUUAUCGCUUCUGUUAACCUGUCAAGCGCACUAUCCACUAACUUUUGCUUUCAAUAUCAGCUAAGGCGGAUUUUAUUUUCUUUCUAAAUUCCGCCAUACUUUCUAUAGCUGGCUUCUCCUGAUCAUAAACUUUUCUUGUUGGAAUCACAGAUUCUCAGUCGGGUUUAGACGAGACUCAAAGCUGGCUAUGAUAAUAAUUCUAUUGUGAAACCUUGAAAAUACUUUUUUGUAAUAGGAGUAGUAUAAUGGCAGCAUGGUCUUCUUGAUAAAUUGUCUUUCUGUCUACCAUUUUAAAAAACAAUAUUUCGCUAUGUAACACCUUGUGCUAUUUUAUAGCGUUCAAAUUUCUCUUGAUAUAUGUAGGCAUGAUCAGUAGUUUCCUGGAAAUAUCGAAGAACUAAUAGAGAAACGGUGUUUGAGUUUAUAAUUAUUCACAGUACUGCAGUCGGUAAAUUGAAAUAUUAAGCAGACUCGUUUAACCAUUAAGAGCUGUCGUCAAUAGAAAUCACGUUGAUUCUAUCAGAGGCAAAAUUUCACCUUAAUAGAUUUAUAUUUUGUGCUUAAAAUAAAAAAAAAUAGAUGUAUUUAAUAUCAAAUAAAGAAUGGAAAAGUUAUUAUUUGCUGUAGCUACAAAUGACACUCCAAUCAUAUUAUAAUUUUAAUAUUGGGUUGGUAACUAAGUGAUUGCGGAUUUUGUCACUAGGUGGCAUUGACAAAAUCCGCAAUCACUUAGUUGCUAACCCAAUAUAAUGUAAUAACAAUCGAAAUAUAAAAAGGUAAACCACUUUUCAGAGUCUAAUGUAUUUUUAACAGAAAUUUUAAAUUACCUCAAACUACUUUCAUAAUCUUCUUUGACACUCUUACUCUUGCGCAAAGUAUAUUCUUAUUUACUAACUGUCUAUUGAACCUUGGAGUAUUAAUUUCGUUCAGUAACAAUACAAAAACUGGAUUUUGUAGAUCUCGGAAUUUUCUUUUGUAUCACGACUAUAUCUCAAAAUAUUAAAUUCACUAUUUUGGCAAAAUGAAUAUAUUGGGUUGGCAACUAAGUGAUUGCGGAUUUUGUCACUAGGUGGCAUUGACAAAAUCCGCAAUCACUUAGUUGCCAACCCAAUAUAAUGUAAUAACAAUCGAAAUAUAAAAAGGUAAACCACUUUUCAGAGUCUAAUGUAUUUUUAACAGAAAUUUUAAAUUACCUCAAACUACUUUCACAAUCUUCUUUGACACUCUUACUCUUGAGCAAAGUAUAUUCUUAUUUAUUAACUGUCUAUUGAACCUUGGAGUAUUAAUUUCGUUCAGUAACAAUACAAAAACUGGAUUUUGUAGAUCUCGGAAUUUUCUUUUGUAUCACGACUAUAUCUCAAAAUAUUAAAUUCACUAUUUUGGCAAAAUGAAUAUAUUGGGUUGGCAACUAAGUGAUUGCGGAUUUUGUCACUAGGUGGCAUUGACAAAAUCCGCAAUCACUUAGUUGCCAACCCAAUAUAACGUAAUAACAAUCGAAAUAUAAAAAGGUAAACCACUUUUCAGAGUCUAAUGUAUUUUUAACAGAAAUUUUUAAUUACCUCAAACUACUUUCAUAAUCUUCUUUGACACUCUUACUCUUGAGCAAAGUAUAUUCUUAUUUAUUAACUGUCUAUUGAACCUUGGAGUAUUAAUUUCGUUCAGUAACAAUACAAAAACUGGAUUUUGUAGAUCUCGGAAUUUUCUUUUGUAUCACGACUAUAUCUCAAAAUAUUAAAUUCACUAUUUUGGCAAAAUGAAUAUAUUGGGUUGGCAACUAAGUGAUUGCCGAUUUUGUCAAUGCCACCUAGUGACAAAAUCCGCAAUCACUUAGUUACCAAUCCAAUAUUAAAACAAAACUUGUAUAGAGUGGAAGUGGACGACCAAGGAGUGCAAAGUUUAUACUUUUACAAAGUUUAUAACUUUCAGGAACCAGCAUAAUACGAAGCCAGACCCGGCCCAUUGUCCUUCAGCAGGGCAGACAUGCAUUUAUGUAUGCAAUACUCGAGUUUCUGAGGCUUUCUAGUGCCUGCACGCCCUAAUACGCCGUUAUAAUUUAUAGCAGGCUGCUCUACGGUUUCGGAUACAUCAUCACUCCGCUCGGCUUGCGAUAUUGAUCAGCUGCAGAAUGAAUAAUCAUGGCCGAAUCGAUCAUCGUCUGCUUGUUCCUUACCGCACCGUAAAAACUUGACGAGCAUUAAUACUAGGAUUACCACACUAGUCAAAUUGACUGGUUUUACAAUUUUAUUUUCAAAUUCCUACUUCAUGUUAUACCUUUUUCCGCAAUAAUGUAAUGACUUUCGCAAUGAUAAUUAAAAAAAUAAUAUAAUGAA